rnacentral:tRNA from 1 species
UGUUUUGUGGUGUAGUUGAUUAACACUUAUGUUUAGCGAAUUGGAGUGACGUGAGUUCAAUUCUCAUCAGAACCA